UACGAAGGGGGCUAGCGUUGCUCGGAAUCAUUGGGCGUAAAGCGCGUGUAGGCGGCUUGGUAAGUCUGCUCUGAAAGCCCGGGGCUCAACCCCGGGAGGCGGGUGGAUACUGUCAAGCUCGAGUCCGGUAGGGGAGUGUGGAAUUCCCGGUGUAGCGGUGAAAUGCGCAGAUAUCGGGAGGAACACCAGUAGCGAAGGCGGCACUCUGGGCCGGUACUGACGCUGAGGAGCGAAAGCGUGGGGAGCAAACAGG
rnacentral:rRNA from 1 species